rfam:Schistosoma mansoni, Puerto Rico, WGS project CABG01000000 data, contig: 0360
AUCCAGCUGAUGAGUCCUAAAUAGAAUGAAACGCGCGUUCAACUGGAU